rnacentral:lncRNA from 1 species
GCAUUGGUGUUGCCUUUUAUGCUCGUGCAGACCAGGAGCUUUGUGCUAUGCAGUUUAGACUCGUGCGGGUGAGGAGAAUUUGUGAAUUUUGUCAAGCACUUUUGGAGAGGCGUUCCUUACAAUCUUCAUAGCAAGGAGCCUUGACCGAGUGAUUGAAGAAGUCUUCGGGAAAGAAGUCGCACAUCGUGAUGGCAACAGACGAUCUUUGUGUCGUAAUUUCAUCAUCUUCAACACGUUCACGUUGCUUUGAAGGUUGACAAGAGCUGCUUUGCCCCCUUUCCGAUUGGCGGACUUGUGGAGGAGACGUAUGCUUCUUGUGCCAUUUCUUAGGAGUGACUUGAGUCCAUCCUUCAAGUUUGCUUGUUUUGGAGGAUGCCCCCGGCGGUUGAGGUGAAAAUUUUGUGUUGAAAGAGCCAGAAGUGAUGGUGGUAUAGUUUGACUUCACCACAUCGUCAAGAUCUAGCUCGAUGAUUCCUUUCUGAGCCCACUUUAUGAUGAGAUCUUUCAGCACAAAGCACUUUUCUGUCGGAUGACUGAUGAAGCGGUGGAAUUUACAGUAUCUUGGACUGUUGGUACGAUUCAUCUCUUCCGGCCAUCUGCACUCAGGCAAACUGAUCACCUUCUUGUCCAACAGGUCAUCCAACAUGGCAACCACAUCAGAGUCAGGGAAUGGAUAAGUCUUCUCUUUAAGCUCCUUCAAAGUGCGUCUACGCAUCUCUUGAUCACGAAAAGCUUCGGUUUGAAUCGUUUUGCCUCGUGUGGAGAUUUUGACGGGAGAUGUGUUGACUGUCAUUGCUUCCUUGGUGGAUUUCCACGUAGCCUUCUCCACCUUUGUCUCAAGAAUUUUGUCGUUCUUGUAGUCGGCGAUCGGUUCCUUCUUCCCAUGAUGGGUGAUGCUCAACUCCAUGUCAUGGGCGUGGGUGGCCAAUUCCUCGAAGGUCCGUGGUUUAAUGCCUUGAAGGAUGUAUUGCAAACCUCAUUGCAUGCCUUGGAUGCACAUCUCGAUUGAAGAGGUCUCCGAGAGCCUAUCUUUGCAGUCGAGGCUUAGAGUGCGCCAUCUGUUGAUGUAGUCAAUGACCGGCUCAUCUUUCCAUUGCUUCAUACUUGUGAGCUCCAACAUGCUUACAGUGCGGCGGGUGUUGUAGAAGCGGUUGAGGAAUUCCCGCUCCAAUUGCUCCCAGCUGUUGAUGGACUCAGGCUCUAGGUCCGUGUACCACUCAAAUGCGUUUCUUUUCAGCGAGCGCAUAAACUGCUUGGCGAAGUAGUCCCCCUCCGUCCCCGCGUUGUUGCAAGUUUUGACGAAAUGUGCAACGUGCUGCUUUGGGUUUCCUUUUCCAUCAAACUGCAUGAACUUUGGUGGUUGAUAUCCCAUCGGCAUCUUUAGGGCAUCAAUCUUCUUUGAAUAAGGCUUUGAGUACAACCCGGAGGUAUUUGAGCUCCCUUCGUACUAUGCCUUGACGGUGCUGGCAAUCAUCUCUUGCAACUGUUGGAUAGAAAGAGAUCCCAUGAGUGCCGCUUCUUGGUCUGGCUCCGGCUUCACAUCGAUUUUCUCCACCGUAGGCUCAUCUUCUGGGUUAGGGUUCUCGCUGUCCUGUGGCUCCAGUUGACUGAUGAGUGCAGCGAUUUGCAAGUCUUUUUCUUCCACAGUUCGGGUUAGCCUUGCGAUUGCUUCAUUCAUUUGAGCCAGUUGUUCUUCGAUGGAGGUAACGCCGAUGGUCAUGACUUGUGCAACCAAUAGACGUGACUUUCCUUUAGACAUCCAAGAUGCUGAAGAAGAACGUCAUUGGUUGUUUUGGGAUGUCAUCUUGUGUGCCUCAGCAACAUGCUUUGGUGCCCCCAGCGAGGUCAGGUUGAUGACAGACUCACACCUUUGAUGCUCCCUUUGCUCUUUUAGCGGCACCAACUUUGAAGUGGCAUGUUAAGGAGCGGUUGUGGUGCUAAUGGAUUGUCCAUUUGCGGCAGAAGUGCUUAGGAUCCUUCCCUCAGUGAUUGCGAGAACGGCUUGUCCCUUGCUUGAUGCCAUUGAUUUUGAGGUGUGUUUGGAUUCCUUAAACGGAGAAAGAUAUGAGAGGUAGAGAUUGUCCCACCGGGCGUGCCAAUUUGUGAACACGAAAAUUUCCUGAAACGAAAGAGACAAGAACAACGUGCACAAAAUAAUAUUUUGGUGUUAAUGGAUUUGUUGGGUUACGAUCUCUUUUAACUUGAUCCUCUGAUUCGAUCUCCGUAAGGUGUUGAUUUAUGGAUGUUUCGUUGAUCUAAGGGCCGUCGAGGCUUGAUCUUGGAUGAACUGUUGGAAGUUUCUUCAAGGGGCCGUGGGCUUGAUCUUUGAAGGUGGAUUUGAGCGGAUCUUCAAGGAGCCGUUGGGGCUUGAUCUUGAGGAUGAGUGUUUCUUCAAGGGCCGUUAAGGCUUGAUCUUGAAUAACGGUGAUGAACGGAUCUUCAAGGGCUUUUGGGCUUGAUCUUGAAGAACGGUUGGAUGUGUGGAUUUGUUGAUGUUGUUGAUCCAAGGGCCGUCGGGGCUUGAUCUUGGAAGAACGAUGAACGAAGAACGAAGAACACUUUCUUCAAAGGCCGUCGGGGCUUGAUCUUGAAUUGGUGAUUGUUGAUCCAAGGGCCGUCGGGGCUUGAUCUUGGAAGAACGGUGAACGAAGAAUGAAGAACGAAGAACACUUUCUUCAAGGGCCGUCGGGGCUUGAUCUUGAAUUGGUGAUUGUUAAUCAAAGGGCCGUCGGGGCUUGAUCUUGGAAGAACGAUGAACGAAGAACGAAGAAGGCUUUCUUGAUUCUUCGGGAUGAACGGAUGAUGAACAAUGAACACUUUCUUCAAGGGCCAUCGGGGCUUGAUCUUGAAUUGGUGGAAGUUCUUCAGGGCCUUUGGGGCUUGAUCUUGAAGGUGGAUGAUUGUUGAUCCAAGGGCCGUCGGGGCUUGAUCUUGGGAUGAACAGUUGUGUGGAUUUGUUGAACACUUUCUUCAAGGGCCGUCGAUGCUUGAUCUUGAAUUGGUGGAAGUUCGUCAAGGGCCGUUGGGGCUUGAUCUUGAAGAAGGAUUUGACGAAGAACGAAGAGAGCUUUCUUGAUCCUUCGGAAUUUGCUUGAAUUUGGGAGGUUGGAUGCUUGAAAGCUUUAGAGUUUCAAAGCUUCAAGGAUUUUGGAUGUGUGGGGAGUAUUCUCUUACAUUUUGGGAGUAGAGAAAUGUAUUUGUGAAUUGGUUUUUGAUACCUUGAUGUAGAAGCCUAUUUAUAGGCUUUGAGAAUGAAUCACCACCACAAAAUAUUUUUUUCUUUUCCAAGCACCAUUGCCUAAUUUCCCACUUAAUACAAUUUUAAACUUGAAGUGGUAAUUUUAUGGCCUAAUUUUCCACUUAAUAUCAUUUUAAACUUGAUAUGUGCAUGCUUUGUCAUUGCCCAAAAUGAGAAGAAAACCUUGUUUUGAUCUUCAAUGGAUUGAAAUGUGCUUUGCCUUGUCAUUGCCCAAAAUGAGAAGAAAAACUUGUGUAAUCCUCCAAGGGUAUUUCUUUUUAUUUUGUUGAGUCACACACCAUGUGUACAAUUUGUAUGACACGUGGCAUAUGCCAUAUAUGCCUUGACACGUCAAAAUUUUAAUGCGUUGGUGAACAUUUAUUUCACCGCAAUUUCGAUGUCUACAAUUUCAUUUCUUGUGAAUAAUGUUUAUCCUGUGUUCUGUCCAAUCGCGUAUUAAAAAAUGUGUGAAGUUUGGAUUAACCACACUCUUUUAGAAUUUCCUUUAUUUACCACUUUUUGAGAAUUUCCAAUAAGACUGGGUGAGUCUCCGCUGAGAAUUUCCUCAACUAACACCACACUACUUGAGGGAUAAUUUGUUAUAUCUUUGAAUAAAGAAUAAAACAGUUUCCUACUUUUGAAGGUACUAUUAACUUACACUAUAUUUGGAUGAAGGUCAAACUUUAUAAAUUGACAUACACCAAAUUCUUUGUUUGGAUUCAUAAACAUAUAAAUUUAGAAUUUCCGCGUGGAAAAAAAAAAUACUUAGAAUUUGAGACCUCCAAUUCUCAAAUUGAAAGUUUAAAAAUAAUAAAUUCCGUAUUCAAUUCAAUUGUUCUUUUAGGUUAACCAAAUAAGAAAAUUCACAAAUUCUAAAAUAUAAAAUCUCAUCAUUUCAAUUUCCGUCAUUUUAAAAUUCCUUAGUAAUAUUAAAUUUCUUCAUCCAAACAUAGUGUUAAGAAAUUUUUUAAAGAUACACUAUUUACACUCAUUUUUAUUUCUUACACAUUUAUUAACUUUGUCCAUUGAUUUCUUCAAUUCAUUUUGCCAGUUAUACAAAAAUUGAGAACAGUAUUUAUGAAUUAAAAAUACAUUUGUAGAUGUCACUACCAAAUUUUUAUUCCUAAUUCAAGAAAAUCUUAUCCAUAUAUGAUUGCCCUUGCCCACUUUAAAUGGGUGCCAUCACUUUACGAUAGAGCAAUCCUAACCGUCCACCUAGGUAAGCAUAACUGGCGAUGCAUGUCGCAAGGGGACCGCAUUGCACAAUAUAAUUAUACUAGUUGAUAAGACAAGUGAUGUCAAUCAAUAAAUUAUUUCAUUAAAACUUAGUUGUAUGUAUCAUAUGUUGUAAUGUAGGGUGUAUGAUAUGCUGACGCUGUAAAAAAAUGUAACCUUUUUAAUAUUACUCAUAAUAGUAAGACUUACCAGUAUUAGGAUGUUAUCAGUGGAAUGAGAAUCCUCUCCAGAUCUUUUUUGUGAGCUAUUAUUUGUAUUUAAUUUUAAAUAUAAAAAAUUAAAAUAAUUUAUGACGGCAGUGAUUCACAUGAUCUUCACAAAGAGAAUCCAAAUAAUCUUAAUUUAUAUCAGUGUGUCUAGAUAACAUGAUCGAGCCCCUUUACUUUUACCCUAUUUAGUAUUUUACAUUUGAACCUGUAAAUAUUCGAUUUUUCUUUGGUGCAACCGAGCACCAAAUAUAGAUUUUUUUUCACUUUUAUAUAAUGAUAAAUAAAGGGCAAUUGGCAGAUUUGAAUUCCAUUCGGAUUGGUCAAAAAUCAUUUUAAAUUGUUUUAUUUAAAAUUAAACACAUAUAGUACUUAAUAAAAAUUAGUCGUACAAUAUACGAUAAACAGAUAUAAUGUAAGGACCUUUAUGAUCUUCACAAAAAAGAUCCAAAGGUUGUGUAGCUGUUUCAAAAGGAUAAUACUCACUUUUGAUUAGUUCAAUGAAAUUUUAAACAUGUUUUAUUGUUUUAAAAAAUAAUAAACAUAUUUAUUAAUGUUUGUUUUACUUUAAAAAAUAAGCAGCACUUGACAACAUUUGAUUGUGCUAAAUAAAAAAUGAGUGACCACUUAGUACUACAGUCUUAUGAUAUUUUUCUUCAUUUGAAAGUGAGAGGUUUUAAGUUCGAAUCUCGUGGAUGACGAAUUUGAUAUCAAAUUAGAUUGCUCACUAUGUGGCUUAGCCGAACUCUCAUUUCCUUUAAUGUAAAAAUAUUGAUGUAUUCAAAAAAAUAAAAAGUGACUAUAGAGGACACUCAAUCUCAGCUGUAUGAUUAAAUCAGACGGUAAGAAAAAUUCUGCAAGCAUACUCGGUUACAUUAAUUGAAGAAAAAAUGGGUAAAUAUUGGGCACCAACGUUAUAAAUACCCUCCACCAUGCACCCAACUCCCUCACACCAUCACAACCCACGUUACAAAUCCUCCUCCUCAUCAUAACCAUUCUGUUUUCCGCAUAAUAUCCAAAAACCUAUCAUGUCUGAAGAGAAACACCACCGCGGUCUCUUCCACCACCACAAGGAUGAAGACAAACCCUCAGACUACCCUCAGUCUGGCUACUCUGAUGAAGGACGUCCCGGCGGCCUCGGUGGUGGUUACGGCGACACCAAUGAUUAUUCUGGUGAAGGACGUACCGGCGGCCUAGGUGGUGGCUAUGGCGACACCAAUGCUUAUUCUGGUGAAGGACGUCCCGGCGGCUAUGGCGGCUAUAACGAGACCACUGCUUACUCUGAGGAAAGAGUUGAAAGACCCGGCGGUGGCCGGUACAGUGAGACUACUGCGGCAUAUGGCAGCACCACCACUCAUGAAUCUGAACUUGAUUACAAGAAGGAGGAGAAGCACCACAAGCAUCUCGAGCACCUCGGCGAGGCCGGUGUAGCUGCUGCCGGCGCUUUUGCCUUGGUACGUAUUGUAUUUUAACCCACCUCUAUAUAUAUAUAUAUUAGAAUAAUGCUAAUAAGACCAAAUUUUGAAAACUAAAUGAUGUGGUUGUUGAUAAUGAACUUAUUACUCAAGUCUUGAUUAACAUGCUUAUUUUCUAAUAGUGACACAUUAUUUGGUUUAGAAAUUUGGUCUUCCUAACUUUAUCAUUCUCAAAAUUUUCAUGAUUUUGAUAGGGUAAUACGGGAGAUCAAAAUUUCUAAACCAAAUUUGCAAACCAAUAGAUGAUUGGAUUAUUAAUUAAGUAUCGAUUGUUUGUUUCUUAUUAACGACAUAUCAUUUGAUUUACAAUUUAGUUAAAAAAAAUUUAUUCUUUCUGUCAUAUCCUUUUGAAUAUUUGAUCACUUUACUCUUUAUCACUUUACCCUUGAUCACUUUACCCAUACUCUUGCAACCGAAUCACCGUCCUCCUCCUUAACCUUCAUUUUUUUGUCUUACAGUACUCCAAUCUAUCAACUCUGUCCAUUGCAACUUUAAUUGUGAAGAAAAUUAAAGUCCUAUCGUAAAAUUAAUUAGUGAUAUGGAGAGUUGCGCAAUUAUUGAUGGACUAGGUAGGUAAGAUACGGAAUCAAAGUCUACCAUUAACAAUGGACGGAAUUGAUGAACCAUAUAGGUAUGUAAGAUACGGAAUCAAAGUCCUCAUGUAAAUGGUACAGUUGCAAUCAGGAGAAGAAAUGAGUUAACUGAUACCUUCGUAAUAGUUCAUGUAGAGUUUUGAUAUUAUUAAGCCUUAACCACCUGAUCUUAUAUAUACGAGGACAAAUCUAAUCAAAUAUGUGUUAAUUUCAAGGUUUGUUUUACAUUGAUGUGAGAUCGAUGCUAGCAAGAUAUAUAACUUAUGUCAGUUUCUAUAUGAUGUGUGUAGCAUGAGAAGCACAAUGAAAAGAAAGACCCAGAGCAUGCCCACAGGCACAAGAUAGAAGAGGAGAUUGCUGCAGCAGCUGCAGUUGGUUCGGGUGGAUUUGCCUUCCAUGAGCAUCAUGAGAAGAAAGAGACAAAGGAAGAAGAGGAAGAGGCUUAUGGAAAGAAGAAGCACCACCACUUCUAGAUCUAUGUGGAUUGUGGAACAUCAUCUUUUGACUACAUAUGCAAUGUUGUGUUUUUACUAGUUAUCAUGUGGUGUGAUCAGUGAGAGUGUGAUGCUUAAUCUCAACAAUAUCGCUACAAUAGUUGAGUGGUUAAAUGUCCUUUUCAAUUAAUGGGUGCUAUCUGGUUUUCUUUUAGCAUGCCAUCUAUGUAUGUAUGUAUGUAUGUAUGUCAUUGUUAUUGUUCAUAAUAAUACUGUUUACUCGGUGUUUAUUUCCUAGUGGCCACAUCUCAUUUUAAAUGAUUUCUUCAUACCAUUAAUUUUUUAAAUGUAAAGACUCAGUAUCCAUAUAACUACGAAAAUUUUUGACAAAACAAAAACAAGAAAAAAGAAAAGGAAAAAAUGGCUUAGCAAGUUUGUAUCCUAUAAGACAAAUGGGUACGUGGAACGAUGGACAUCUCACAAUGGUUUUUGAAUCGUCGGAUCAUCAUGGUUGGACUAUAUAAUUAUCAUUGAUAUAAUAUAAAUUUUGAUUUUUUUUUAGGAAAUUAAUAUCUGAAAACAAUAUUGAUGUACUGCAUUUGUUUUGGACGAUAUUAUACUUUAAUCCAAAUUUUGAGAAAAAAAAAACAUAUCGAACUCAGGUGUACAAGAGUGGCUUUGCUACCCAUGUACAGGGCUAGUUCUGAGUUUUUGGGUGCCCAGUGCGAAAGCUCAAAAUGUGACAUUUUUUAAUACGAAAACAUAUAUUAAAAAAAAUAUUUAAUGAGGGCUGGAACCCAGUCGAAGCUGGAGGGCUAGGACCUCACGCCCAAAUUAUAUUACUUGAGAAAAUAUACAACUGAGGAGGGGACAUGGUACCUAAACCCCGACAAUCAAAAGUACAAUCAUAUACAACCACUCCUAGCAAAUCUCCUUCAAAUUUCAACCUUUAAGAAAUUGUCUUCUGGCAUUUUUUGAAGCAAAAUCAUCAAUUAUAUCAUCAUACUCCAAGUCUUCAAUCUCAUCAUUUUCAAUGCAUAAGAUUGCUAAUCCAUUUAGCCUAUCUUGAGUCAUAGUGGUCCGCAAGUAAGAUUUUAAUAAUUUCAAUUUUGAAAAACUUCUUUUUGCAGAUGCCAUGGUCACAAGUACAGUUAACAGUACACGAUAAGCAAUCAAGACAUUAGGACACAUGUCAGUUUCUUUUACAAAAUUUGCUAUUUCCAUGGAUGUCCAAGGGUUAUUAGAGAGAAAUGCUUCUUCAGGUAAUAUCAUUUGCAAAACCUGCAAUUCGGAAUAUAAGUCAACUCCAUCUACAUCCAUGGUAUUUCCAUGUUUCAAAUGUGCUUCAAGAUUCAUACAAUUUUCUUUUAGCUCUUGAUCAUCCAAUGAAAUUAACUUUGGUGCAUCAAACAAGAAGCCAAAAAUAGAUUCAAAGGAUUUUAACUGUUCAAACUUGUGUUUCAGUUGAGAAAGAGCAAUAUCCACUAUAACAAGAAAAUAAUAUUUCCUAAAUGAUUCUUUAGCAGAUUAUUGUUCCCUCUCAUUACCAUCAACUUCAUCAUGAUGUCUUUUUCUAGGUCUAUGACAUUUAGUUUGAAAAAACAGGGUCAAUUUCCAAAUCAAGUGCAAUUUCAUUAGCAUCACUCAUGGCGGAAGCAAAACCAGUUUCUCUGUAGUUUCCAAAAAAUGUAACAAAUGCUUCAAAUGCCUUUACAGCAACAUCAAGACGCAUGUCUUUAGAUUGUAAUUUUAUGCUCACCAUGUUAAUCUUCAACAAAAUGUCAUACUAAAUAACCAAACUUAAUACAAAAUCAAAACUUGAAAGUUCGCCUGAUGCUAAACAUCUUGCAUCCCUACUUAAUUGAGGAUUUUCAGUAAUUUCCACCAAUUAAACAAAGCAUUUCUAACCUGGGCUACUUGAGACUUAAUUGCUUUAACAUUUUCAAUGUGACUUUCCCAUCGAGUAGUUGACAAUGACUUCAAAGUUAAACCAUCAAUAUGUUCAACCAAAAUAUUCCAACGCUUUGUAGAGUUGGAAAACACCAUAUAUAUGCAUUGACAUGCUCUAAAAAAAGAUUUUGCUUUAAGACAUGAACUUGCCAUAUCACAAACUAUUAAAUUAAGCUAAUGAAAACCACAUGGCAUGUAAAAGGCUAUGGGAUUUAUGUCUAACAAUCUUUUCUGGACAACUUGGUGUUUCCCUCUCAUGUUAGAUCCAUUAUCAUAACCCUGUCCCCUCAUAUCAUCAAUAUCAAGGUCUAAAAUAUCGAUAUUAUCCCGAUAUUUCUUUCGAAAUUUCUGUGUUUUUGGAUUACCGAUAUUUCCGAUAUCAUCGAUAUUUUAGACCUUGAUAGGAACUCUAUGUGAUACUAAGUCACUCAUGUAUCUUACCAUGCAAUGUAUAAAGUGUAAAAUAUUGUAUUAAUUCAUUAUAUAUAAAUGAUUAUGGUGUGUUUAACUUCUUUCAUUAAUUACUACAUAUUUUCUACACUCAAAAUGUUUGUCAGCUCACUAUAUAAUCAACUUAAAUAAGUUAAAUCCAUCAUGAAAUGCAUUUCGUUCCAAUUUUUUGUAAUAAACUAGUAGAUAAUUGACUAAAUAAACAUCCUGCAAAGUUUCAAUAAAAAUUUCCAAGUUUUUCUUAUAAUUUCCGUGGUUUUUAUUCAAUUUUUAUCGAUAUCGAUAAUAUCCCGAUAUUUCCAUCAAAAUUUCCGUAUUUUUGGACUAUCAAUAUUUUCGAUAUCAUUGAUAUUUUAGACCUUGAUCAAUAUCAAGAUCAAGAGAUUUUAGGACAUCUUGCAGCUCGUUAAAAAGCCCUUGUCCUAAUGUAUCUUUCACACUUAAAAACUCCAUGAAAUACUCCCUUAUAUUUAUUGACCUACUUGACAAGUCAACACAUCACAAAAUUAAAGUCAUCUGUUCCACAUGACUUGCAUUAGGAGUACAAUCAAGAAUGACAAAAAAAAAUUUGGCUUCUUUUACUUUUUUAAUGAUUGCGGUUUUGACUUUUGAAGCUAAAGUAGCUAUCAACUCAUUUUUGUUGGAAAUGUGCCCUAAAACCAAUCAUAUGAUGAUACUUUACGAACGUUUCACAUGUUAAACUAAUAUAGUUUAAUAUAAAGGGCAAAAAUUAUUGUUUGUAGCCGUCUCAUAUAAAUGUUAUACGCUUAAACGAUAAGUCCAAGGAAUAUGUAAUUGGGAGAAUGCGAUCUAAAGAAGUUAGAUUCAUGAGACCAUUCUCUUCCGUAUACAUAUCCUAAACGUUACUGAUCAUAGGAUUGUCAAUUGGGCAUUGAUAGUCUGUUAAGAUCAGUACGUGUUAUGUCUUCUCUUAAGGAGAGUGACUGGUCUCGAGUCAUUGGUGUGACUGACACCAAGACAAGCAUGUAGGUGCUCAAUAGAGAAUGAGUCCACUGAACACGAUCAACAAGGAGUUCUCAUACUCAUGUCACAUGAGAACUCGUGGUUGGAAUAAUGCAAAGUAGUCAUUUGACCUGAGGCAUCAUAGUUGUCUUGUGGUUAGGUCCUUGAUCUUUGACUAUGUCAAAGUCACUCCGUCAGAGGGUGUCCAUUGCAUAGUUGGGGUUAAGCCACUUAGCCAUGGAGGCAAGUGAAUGCACAAUAAGGGAUCUCUAACCUUCAAACUAUUUGAGGGAGAAUACUCUAUGAUAUGAUUAAGAAUCUCUGGCCAGAGUAUGAAUGAUAUUUAAGAAGUCGUUCCAAAUCACAUUCAAGGUAAUCAUAUAAGUAAGAGAAUCACAUUGGAUAGUAGACAUGAAUAAACUAUCAAACCAAACAAUGUGGUCAAGAGUAUUGUAUUAGAGUAAGACCGUAUUGCAUUGUAAUCCUAAACUAAAUAGGUUCUCCACCUCUUCUGAUCAGCUUGGGUAACCAUGACAUACUGCUAGGUGUUACUCAUGAUUUGUGGAAGCCCUAAACGUGUAUAAUCACUAAAGGGAGAAUUGAAAGUAAGUUUCAAUUUACAAUCGAUUUGAAAGAGUUCUAAUCGCUCACUGCCUCGCUAAAAGGAACCUAAUGGAUCGUACACCGUGUAAGGUAGAGAUUGAAAAAACAACGGAGAUAAGUAAGGACAAUUAAAUGGUUUAAUUGUUUAUGACAAGAAUUAAUUAAUAUGUUAAUUAAUCAAACGAAUAAGUUCGGGUUAAACCUUGAGUUAGUUUUGGGCAUUAAAGCCCAAAUUGGGCUUCGAAUCUUCAAACCCAUUAGCUUAAGUUGUAUGACAACUUAACAAACAAAAUUCAAGAAGCCCAAAACAGCCCAAAGGCUUGGGAAAACCAGCCAUAUAGAGAGGGGUAGUGAACUUGGCUUAAUUGCAAGUUUGCCAUUCCAUUGUGAGGUGGUAUAAAGGCAACUUUAUAGCCAUUUCAUCCUUAGGGUUUCUUUUGGAGAAAAGAUGAGAACACAAGCUCCCUUUUCUCUCUAAGAGGCUGGCCACCCUAGAGGAUUUUAGCUAGCAAUCUUACUUCCUCUAGGUCACUCAUCUCUUCUUCAAGUCAUUCCUUGGUGUGGAGACUUAGAGGUUCCUUUCAACCAUCUUCAUCCAAGAAAUCCAUGGAGCUAAGAAGCAAGGAAUGAAGGCCCUCGCCUUGGGUGAUUAGCCUUUGCUUAUGCAAAGAGGAAUCAACAAAGGUAUAAAAUUUCUCAACUCACUUUGUUCUUGAGUUGAGUCUUGGUUCACAUAACUACUAGGCUUUGAAUUUCAUGGGUAAUGUUUUGUUUUGAGUGCAUACAAGCAUGAUUCCGCCUUUAAUUGUUAAUUGCAUGCCAUAGAUGUUGCUCAAAUGAACAUGUUUCUCACAAAAUUUCCUUCAAUUUUGAAUUUUAUGGCUCAAAUAGUGAUGAUGAAUCUCUUUAUUCUCAAUAAGUCGAAAAUGCUAUUGCAUUAUUGGAUCAAACUCCGCAUUCAUUUCAAGUAAACCUAAGAAGUUGCCAUUAGAGUCUUCAUAAAGUCUUUCAUUUGUUCCACGAAAUGCUAAAUUACGUAUGGCAAGACAUUUCAUAACAUCAAUAAUUCUAAGCAUCACUUGUUUCCAAUGAUUUGGCUCUUUCUUGAUUUGCAUUUGAAAUUCUUUGUCAAUUGUCUGAUUUUUUGUCAAUCUACUUUUCAACUCAACCCAAGUUCUCGAAUUAAUGAGAUGCUCUUUACUCUUUUCAUAUUGGUCAAGCUUCUUACCAAGAUGUCUCCAAUCACUAGUUCCAUCUUUUGCUAACUCACUUUUUGAGGCAAUUAUUUUAAACAAUUUACAACAAAAGCAAAAGACUUUAUCCAACUCUUUUGAGUACACGAGCCAUUUCCUAUCGUAAAUUUUACCCGUUCGUAAUUUUCGAUCAUAGUAGUGUGAGGAAAAUUUUCUAGAGAAUUUGUCCUUAGGAUAAGUGAAUUAGUUUCUCAAAUUGGUCCUUUUUCUACAAGUAAGUCUCUCAUUUUUGCAUUAAGACCAUCCCAAACUAUUGGAUCAUAAAUGUCUAAAUGAAAAAUAGGUUCAAGAGAUUCAAUAUUUUCUUCUACACCAAAAUGAUCAUCAUCAACAUUUAAAUCCACAUCACCACCAUUUUCAUGAUCUUGAGACUCAUCACCAACAUUUUCCUCUAAAUCACCACAAUUUUCUUGGUCAUGAGACUCGUCAUUAACAUCUUUCUCCACAUAACCACAAAUUUCAUCAUCAUGAGACUCCCCAACAAUAUUUUGUGACUCUUCACCAACAUCAUUUUCUCUCAAAUUUUCAACCGACUCAUUCUUUAUAGAAUUUUUUUUAUUAAGAGAUCCUCUUAAACUUUAGGCAAUUUCGUUAUCCUUUGCCUUUUUUUUCCUUUUCAUAUUACUAGAGAGUUAUUUUCUAAAAGACAUGGCUUUGAUAAUUUGUUUGCAAAAAUUACCUACAUAUGAUAUAACAAAAAUUUCCUAUUAAAAUUAUCAUCAACAAUUCAAAAAUUACCUACACAUGAUAAUCAAGAAUUCAAUUCAUCAACAACAACAAUUCUAUACAUCAAUUAUCAUAUAAUUCUGUCACUUGCAAAAUUUAUAUUAAAUUAUGAAUUAAUAAUUCAAAUUAAAAAAUUAGUUUACCUCAAAACUCAAAAGGGUUGUUGAAUGCAAGGACUUGUGGGCCUGUGGCUGUCGGGUUUGGAAGCUGUAGCCUGCAGCAGCGCAACAAAUUAUCAGACGGUAAGGGCUAGGGCAGUGGGGUAACAAUGGGGUGGGGAAUCGGGAAAAAGGGGAACUUAGGGUUAAUUGGGGGGGGGGGGGGCGGGGACGAGUGGUCCCCUUGUGUUGUUAUUUUUUAUUUUUUUAAUGGCCAAAACCUGGGCUGGUCUUUUUUUUUUAAUUUUUUUAUUAUUUAUAAAUGCCCAAAACCUGGGCCGUUCCCUUCAUUUUCAAACUUGGGCCUCUUGCCCUCUAGUUCUUAUUUUGGGCUCUGGACAAAUUUUUUUUAUACCUAAUUAUUUGGACUUUUUUUUUGGUGCCCCUUUCAAUUUUGGGCCUUGGAAUGGCCCUGGUUGCACUGGGCCUGGGCCGGGCCUGCCCAUGUAUAUGUUAUCUUGUGAUUUGACAAGUCAUAUGUAUAUCAUAUCAAUUUUAUCUCAAUUGUGGUGAUGGUACAUAAUACUUACUACAUCGUAUGGCAACAAAUAAAUAUGGGCAUAAAGAUAAAUAGAAUGGUAUCAGUAAAUUAAGGUCUUCACAUUACGAUUAUAUUUAUCUCUAUUUUUAGUGGAAAGUUUUAAGGAUAAUUUUUUUUCUGCCUCCUACAUGGGUCUCGAUUCUCCUCUACGGUAAAAAUCCGUAUGUUUUAAAUAUUGAAAAGUUAAUUUAGCCCAAAUCCUUGCCUAUUUUAGGGAAAAUAAAAAAAAUUCAUUUUUAACCCUUUGAUUACUUAUAUCACCUAGUAUAACCUUUUUUUUUGUGUGAUACAAACAAAUAUUUUUGUUUGGGCCCAAAAUAUUAUUUUAGGCUGAGCUUAGGUCAUUCUCGGCCUAGUGGCAUUCAUUUAGAAUUUUGUUAUGGGCCGUCCAGUUAAGGUCAGCCGAAUCCUAUUAUGAAAAGGUUUGGUUUGGAUAAGGGUGAGUUGGUCGAUACUAGUGCAACAAGGAUUCUGAAGACUAAGGACAUUGAGAAUUAAAGGGUGAAUUUGGUUUGUUAAGAAGCUUGGUUCAAAGUCCUACAGGAAUUAGGAUUGGUUGAAACCUGAUCGGAUUGGGUUGAGGAGUUCUAAUCCUAGUCCAUUUCUAGUUCGGCUAUGAGGGGAUUCAUUAUUAUAAAUAGAGAAGGGAGUGCAUCAUUCAAAGCCCCUCCAAUUCAACACACAAAUUGCCUUGUGCAAAGCUUCUCAACAACCUUUGAGAUUUUAUCCACUUCCUCUUUCUUUUGCCAACACAUCUUCAGUUUGGAUAAAUAGCACUGUGAAGGCAACCGUCGACAUCUUCAGUUUGGAUAGACUGCACUAGAGCCGUAAAAUUAGCCGACCAAGGAGCACCUUUAGUUUGGAUGGACAACACUGCUUUGAGGCCGACUGGCUAUUUAUUCAAGUCUCGGCUGAGAAGGAUUUUCAAAUCCUUGUUGGUAGAGGUCAUCUCGUCAGCCUUCUCGGCAAAGUGAGGUGUUACAGGUUUCUGGGCUCGGCACAUUGAACGUUGAGUUUUGUUUUAUGAUUAGAUACUCACAAGUAAGUUUUAGAGUUUGGCAUUCCGAUGGCCGAAUCACAUUUACAAUCAAGAUAUAUAUUUCUUUCGAGUAUUUGUGUCUGUAUAGUUUGGUACCAGUUCGGCAUGCUUAUACUCUCACGAAUAUAAUCACUAUGAUCGAACCUGAUGCCGAUGAUUUGUGAACUUCAUAGAACUAGCAACCUUGUCUUCAGGCAUUAUAAUCCAAAGGCCGAGACAUGUUCCUUCAUCGAUCGCAGUCGUAAGAUCGAGAAGUCAGCAGCGCGCCCAACGAGACAUCAACACAUUCUAUUCCUCGACCGAGUUGGCACGCCCUGCACAUAACUGAAGGACGUAGUUAGCUUAUUAGUUACUCAGCCUAUGCGUCACGUAGGCUUCAUAGUUUUUAGUGUCAACAUUUUGGCAUGCCCAGUGGAACCCAGUGUUAAAGCUACGAAGUUCAUGACCAUUGAGACACGGUCAGUAAAAAAGAAACCAGUAAUGGGAAAGUUGACAACUAAUCUUCCAGUCUAAAACUCAUGACAAGAUGGGUUGUUAUAGACACAGAUUCAUGCUGCUGCCAUGACACCUGAAGCCACAAGUGCGACAUGCCGAGAAAAGGAAGUGAAUCUUGGCAAUCAGCCUUGUGGUGCAGAAAUCCCCACCAAAACGACAAAAGGCAUUUUUGUUGAAGGAAUAGUGGAUGAUUAUGACGAGGACGGUGGUAAGGCCUCUGAUCCACCAACCAGGUCGUUUUUUCGACGACGACUUGAAGAGUAAUCUUGACAACUUGAGCAGAUGUUCAGCCGAGAGAUAAAAAAACAUAUUUAAAGAAAUGCGUGAUAAUAUCGCUGUACAUAAUUUAUUGCUCGAAGUUCUGGUUAGUAAAGUCCAUGACAUUGGACCCACCAAUCGAUCCAGGCAUCAUUUUUUCAGGAAUAACCCACUACCAAUAGUACAGGUCGAGACAUAAUCCACUUGGCUCAAAAUGAUUAACUUACAGAAAAGUGGUGGGUUAAUCAGCAGAUCAAACGGAUUCGACCAGAGAGCGGAAACGACAUAUGUUGAUAUGGUUGAAGUUUAGAGAAUGAUUGAUUCGGCCUUGAAAAAUGGGCCAAAGUUUCCAAAAUUCAUUCACCCAUAUCCUGCCUUUGUAGAAAAGUUUGAGUACCCAAAGGGGUUCAAGAUCUCUGACUUCAGCCUUUUCGUUGAAGAGUCGUCCCUAUUGUCAUUAAACACGUGGCUCAAUUCACUGCUCAAUGUGGGGACGUUAACAGUGAUUUCCAUAAGCUACGAUUGUUCAAUUUCUCGUUAACCAGCUCAGCAUUCGCAUAUUAUAUCAACCUCUCACCCAACUCUAUCCAAAGUCAGGAGGAACUGGUCGAGAAAUUUCAUGAGCAAUUCUAUCGACUGGGGAUGGACGUAUUAGUAUCUUCUUGGGCUAGGAUGGCUCAAGCCUCUGAUGAGUCACCAAUGGAAUACUUUACAAGGUUUAAGUUGGCCAGAAAUUGGUGUCGAGUACCUCUUCCUGAAGUCGAGUAGGCUUGCCCUGAAUGGCUUAGACGUGGAGUACAAGAAGAAAUUCUUAAGGGCAUACUUUCGAGAUAUGUACGAAUUGGCUCAGCAUGUCGAGCAAUAUGAUUAUUUUCUCUGAGAGGAAAAGAUCUCGAAGUUUUCAUCCCGAGGAACGAUCUACAAGAACUUUACGGUUAGCUAUGCAUCGGCCAAAGGCGAGGAGUCCCAAUAUGCUAGUAUAGACGUGGCCAAGAUAUUAAUCGACAAACUGUACAUAUGUAAAACAUUGGCUCAUGCUACCUGUUCAGCCUUUGAGGAAGCUGCCGUCAAAACGUUAAAAGUCUAUACUUUCGACAUCACUAAGGCUGAUGCCAUCUUUGACCAGUUAUUGCUUGCAAAAAUUGUCAAGCUUCAGCCAGGGCAUAAUAUUCCAAAGGUCAAGGACUUAAAAGGAAAGACAUAUUACAAAUACCACAACUCGAACAAGCAUACGACAAACAACUGUGUCGUAUUUCGCGAUGCCAUUCGAAACUGGAUAGAUAACGGUAAGCUUAAAUUUCCUGAGAAACCAAUGGUCAUUGACACCAAUCCUUUCCCUAUGACAACGGUAAGCAUGGUAGAUGCUCACCUACACAAGGAUAAGAGAAAAGGAAAAGCCGAGUUCAUCCCAACGCAAUACGUCCCUAAGCAGAAUUCUCGAUCACAAUUGAAAGUCAAUCUAUCCUUGGGUGAGCCACCCAGAUACUUUUCAAACCCAACUAAUACCGAGUCAAUAUCAAACUCCAGCACGGGAGAAAGUGACAUGCCAAUGGUUUUAUGCAGUUGGUGUAAAUCAAACGUCAUCAUAACUAAGCUGAAGGAAAAGCCACUUCGGACUGAAGCACCACUAACGCCUGUAGUUGUAGCAACACCUCAAAAAGUGCUUGGUACAGACCAACACCAUAAAGUUUUUGAUAGGCUCAGCCCUCAAACACGGAAUGACGGCCCGUCUUCGGCCCGAUAAUGACUUAAUUUCGACGUUUCGUUUUAUAAUGAAGAGUAUUAUGUGUGCAACUCCAGCAACUCGAGUUCAUCCGCGAACCAAAGAAACUUCAAGUCACCUGAGCCAUGCGACUAGUGUUGGUAUACCUACAAUUCCCUACCGAUGUAUAUAUUGCAUUGUCCAAAUCGUAGAAACAUCAGCGCCAAAUAAUGGACUAUAUGGCUCGCCAAUGAGCAGCCCAGACUACCUCGGUCACCAAGUGGCAACUGAAAGAAACGGUAGAUAACGAAGAUGAUUGACAACCUUCGGCCAUCAUGGUUGAGUUGCUUCAAGGAAAGAAAGUGAUCGAUCGUGACUUUGAAACCAUGAUUGAAGAAUCUGAAAAGUGAAUCAAACUCUUUCUUCGGCCUAGGGAGAUGAAAGCUUGCCUCGAGCACUUUCGGAAAGAAGUUGAAAACAAACUUCCUUUACUACCCUCGCAAGAGCCAUUAAUUAAAGUUCGAAGGAAUCUUCACCCGCCAUUUCUUAACAAAGCUUUAGAAUACAUGCAAGAGUUCCAUAUAAAAACAUUCAGCUAAUGGUUAAUAUUGCAUGCCAAAAGCAUGCCAAGAGGCUCUUGAUCUAGUAUUAACUUGCCCCGAUGCCGAACAAAUCAUCCAAAAGACCAUGGAUCAGAGGAUGAAGGCUAGAAUCCAGCAUAUACUCGAGGCUUGAGUUCUCUACUUUGAGGUAGACCCAUAUACUGAUAUCGAUCCAACCGACCUUCCUUUCUCCCUUAAGGACCUCCAAUAUUUACUGUAUCAUUUUGAAAUUUUCUCGGCAGUUGCCCUCUUUAAUCUUACGACUGAUGAGAAAGAACGUAUGGCGUGAUUAGAUGCUUACUUAGACACAAGAGACGCCCGCAUCGUAUAUCAGGAGCGGACUCACAAGGCUUCACAAGAGCAACACCAAGUCCCCACGUUGAGCGAGCCUAAAGUUGAUGGUCAGAACGAAAUGGGUUUGGUGGAUGCACUGUAGGGACGGGUUCUCUUAGCUGCCGGAGAGGAUCAGCCAGAUAAUGCCCAUAAGCAAAAUACUUCGCCUGAAAAUCUAGAAGACAAAGAUCACGACCCAAUGGGUUCUUCGGUCCUUGAUAACACGGAAAUCAACAUGGUCCAUGUCUUACCUGCCGAGUUCUAGCUAAUUACAUCUCAACCAAACUUUAUGGACGACGUCAAAGUCGCCGAGGAAGCCGCACAAGUCGAUUUUUUGGCCACCGAAGAGAUCGAGCAAGUAAGCAAAGAAGAUAAACUUAAGGCAGCUCUUGCCAAUUUGUUCCCCCGCUAUUCGUCAGUUAAUUUUCAUCAUUUAAAGCCAUUGUAUGUUAUAGCUCGUAUUGAAGGAUAUCUGGUUUCUAAAAUUUUUGUCGACUACGAAGCAACGGUCAACAUCAUGCCCGUUUCUAUCAUGAAGGCAUUACGUCGCUUUAGCAACGAACUCAUUCCAUUAGGGGUAACCAUGAGCAGCUUUGUCGAUGACAAGUCCUAAACCAAAGGAGUGCUUCUUUUAGAGGUAAAUAUCGCAUGUCGCAAUCACAUGACCGAGUUUCUCAUAGUUGAUUUAAAGACUGAGUAUAAUUCCUUGCUUGGUUGUGAUUGGAUCCACCAAACAAGCUGUAUCCCUUCGUCAUUAUAUCAAGUCUCAUCUUUUGGGAUGACAAAUCAGUCGUGGUUCAUCCAGCCAACAAUCAGUUGUUUGAAGCUAAUAUAAUUUAGGCUCGUUAUUACAAUGAUCACAUCGGCUACAUCACCAUAUAAGGUUUUAAAGGGGAAGGACGGCCAACUUGAAUCUUAAUUUAGAAAGCCAUUGAGGUUGGAAAACAUUGUGACAAGAUUCGGCGUACCAAAAAUAAUUAUAACAGAUAACGGCAUAAUUUUUACAGCCGACAAGUUUAAAGAAUACGCAGCGAGUCUAAAAAUUCAGCUCAAUUAGUCCACGCCAUAUUACCCAUAAUCAAAUGGACAGAUCGGAGCAAGUAAUAAAGUUUUAAUCGGUAUACUUGACAAAAUGAUAAAAGAAAAGCCUGGUAUGUGGCAUUUGAAGUUAAACGAGGCAUUAUGGGCAUAUCGAACUUCACUCUGAUCAGCAACAGGGAUGACCCCAUAUGCGUUGACUUAUGGGCACGACGCGAUGCUACCGGUCGAGCUAAGCAUAAACUCGUUAUGAGUUAUCGAACAAAGUAGUUUAUUCAGUGCCGAGUACAGUCAGGCCAUGAGGUAAGAGUUGGAGGACUUGGAGGAAGCUCGGCUCGAUGCCUAUAACUUACUGGUGGUGCAUAAAAAGAUUACCGAACGAGCUUAUAAUCGAUGAGUUAGGCAAAAGACGUUCGGUGAAGGUGAAUUAGUAUGGCAAACCAUGUUACCAGUAGGGAUUAAAGACCUUAGAUUUGGGAAAUGGUUGCUGAAUUGGGAAGGACCAUUCGUCAUCCACAAGGUUCUUGGCAAGGGGGAAUACCACUUGAAAAAGUAUUAUUCGAUUACUUGGGAAAUGCAAGAAUAAAGAAUUUAUUUCAUUGAUUUUCAAAGGACAUUUACAAGCAAAAUUACAAAGAGUCGAUCGGCCUACAACUACAACUAAAGACAAAAGUCCUAAAGAGUCGAAGGAAGAAAAGCUUCAAAAGUGGCUUUCAGUUCUAGCCAUCUUACUUCGCCCAUCGUGACCUCAGCCUGUCUUGUUCUUUUGUCAAGUUGUAGUUGAUGUAUCUGCUUCGAGCUAGCUGCAUACUCUGCCAGUCGAGGUUUAUUCGAAUUGAAAUCUAUUUCAAGCUCGGAAGCAACGGCUGACCUUUGACGUGGAAGUUUAGUGAUUUGGCGGUCAAGAUCGGCCAGCCGCUCACUCUUUGCUUUUAUGGCCUCGAGCUCUGGUCGGAUAGCUUCAUGAACGACCAUUGAAGCCUUGAGGUCAUCUUCUGCCUAAAGAGCCCCAUCAAAAAUAGCGAAGUAUUGUCGGGUUCGUUUUAGGAUAUAAGAUAGGUGAACGACAUUCUCAUUGCUUAGAAUGCCAUCGUUUACAAGGUCGUUCAUACAUUCUUCUAUAGAAUCGAGGCCUUUGUAUUCAAGGAUUUGCAUGGCUGAGAUAGACAAAAGCUCAUGCAGCUUGGCGAAGACACUGGACACGGCCGCGAUUGCAAAAGACUAGAUCGCGGUUGUUGAAGGCCUAGUCACCCCAGAAGUGUUUGAGAGGAGGGUGUCAAGCUUGACUUUCCAUGAAGGCUGCAUAAAAAGAGUUGUUAGAAAAGAGAAGUUAAAAGGACGGUAGAUAAGGACGUUGUGUUAGACCUACCGAGAAAAGACUUCGGCCAUGUCUGUUGGUUCGUUACUCGAACCGAGAGAGCUUAAUGGCCGAGCCUAGUGUUUAAGGCAACCUUUUAAUUCAUGUGGCCGAUAAAGGUUAUCUAUGUUUGAUGGCUAUUGGGAUGGCCAAGAAAUAUAAAUAACGCCAUUUGGCGCAUAGAAUUUUUGGAGAAAUGAGUAAUUAGGCACCUGGCAGUUAAUAUUUUCUUGGUUUAGAAUUCUAAAGCAAAAAAUUAAUAAAAGAAAAUGAUGACGAGUCUUACAAAGGUCGAAGUAACCUCCUGAAGAGGAAUGUCGAAAUUCUGGUCUUGAGGAUGAACCAACGUCUUUACCAUUGCUUCUGCCUCGACAGGAGGCACCGCUUCAUGUCCUGCACCUAUUUCAGUUGCAAAAGUGUCGACCUGGCCAGCCAUCUCAACUAUCGGUUGAGGAUUGGUGGUUGGUAGUUCAGCUGGUUGAGAGCGCCUCACCAACGGGGGUACUUCAUUCUCGUCAUCCUAUACAUAAAAGAGGAUUGGUCGUUAGUUGAGAGAUAUAGUCAAAAUAAAAGGAGAACAUUAGUAAAAAUGGUCAUACCUAUUCUUCCACAAUGAUUAUUGGAGUCUUCUUUAGAUUUGGCGGAGGGUUUCUCUCGGCUGUGGUGGCCUCAUUCUCCAAAGCAGUAGCUGCCACGCUAACACCAAGAAUAACGGCCGGCCUCGGGGUUGGAAAACCCUUGACUAAUGGGUUGAUGAUGGGUUCAACAACAGCCAGCAUAAUGGGUUGGAUCUUAGUUGAUUGAUCUGUCAGAGGAUUUUGCGGUACUCCAAUCGAGGCCUGGACGACAUGAGAAUGGAGAAGGGCACUAGGAGUGGUUGUUCCCGUGGUUUGACUCGAAAUGACAUAUAUCUCCCGUUCUUCAUUCUUUUCCUUUUUCUUGAGGCACUUUUGGGACCGGGCAAUGUUGCCAGUCGUCUCGACCUUUGGGCGAGGCCGUUUGCUCGGUGCGGUCGGUGCAAUAGGGGCUGCUGCAGAAGUUGGUUUGACUGAAGGAUGAGCGAGUUUCUUUUUAGUCGCGACCAUCGUAACCACAUUGACUCGUUUUAUGGCACGACCACUUGGAAAAACUGAGUUUAAGUCAGAACGAUGUUCAAAUUGAAUAAACAAACAAGGGAAGUAAAAGAUAUAUACCUUUAGUUGUUUCUUUGGAUUUUGGGACGAGUCUUCCUCGGUCGGUCGUCGAAAAGCUUCUUUGAAAUUUCCUCGACUGAAGUACUGAAGAAGUCCUUGACGUAAGCAUCUCACCAAUCGGCGAAGAUGCUAAUGCAAUGGGUUUUUGGGGUAAUCAGCCGAAGAUAGAAAUUGGUGCAUCGCUCUAAGAAUUCCCUCUCGGAUUCAUCACAUUCCCUUUAUGAGGAGCUGAAGAGGCGUUCUCGGCUCAAGGGUGAGCGGGAAGUGAGGAGUGGCAUAGGAUAGGCCUGGACAUAGCUCAGUGGAUAGGCCAUGAAGUCAGGAUGGCAAAUCUCCUAGCUGGCCCAUCGAGCAUCACAACCAAAUGGAAUGUCACGAGCUAGAACAAAUGAUCCAUAUGAUUGUCGGAGAUCAGCGUCUUCUGCUUCUUCCCACACCAAUGUAGGGAGCCUGAUGGAAGACAAAUAUUUCUGGCGGUGGCAGACCAGAAACUCGUCGUUCAACAAGUCUUCAAGGUCGAAGAAGUACUUGAAGACAUCUUCGGCCAAUGGGCAGGAGUAGGGUGUGAGGACAGUUGAAGGCUCAUUGCUUUGGAAGAAUUGAAGUGUAGGAUUUUUGGCCUCAAUGUGUAGAAGUAAACCUGCAACCAUAGUUGAAAGACUCAAAGUGGGCCGUUCUGGUGUGGGUUGAUUUUCCCGACGGAAACCUCAGCCAAGCAUCGAGAAAGGUUGGCAAUGAUGGUCGAGCUGAAGGGCAGGACGUGGCCACUAGCUAGCGCUUCAGCCACUAGCACAUUCUUGGCCAGGCACUUGUACGACUUGGUACAAAAGAUGAACUUAUUGUACUACUAGAACGAGAAGGUCUCGUGUUCCCCCUUCUUGAGAGCUUCCCCCUCCGAGCCAGCGAAGUGGGUGAUCAGGGUGCUAUAAUUGAAGAAGUUCUUGUGCAGCUUAUAUACAUCUUUUUUUCAACGGCUCCUGACCAUCCUUCAUCAAAGCUUCGACGACAUGUUCGUCAAAGACCGCCUUUAGAUCUAGGUCGAAUUGAUAUCGAAAAAGGGUGGUAUCAACUGAAAGACCAGAAAGGGGAGUGCCAAGUAUAGCCGUGACAUCCAGCAUUGUUGGGCCAAUGGGGCCAAGAGGAAGGACCAUAAUGUUGGUGGCCAAACACUAGAAACUCAGGGUGGCCAUUAGGAGUUCUCGAUCCAUGUUGAUCUCAAUGGUUGAUAGCUUAAUGGCAUCAAAGUUACUGAGAAUCUUCCAAUCGCCCCUGAAGUGUGGCUCCAUCCGGGUAGGGGUGGGUACUUGGAAUCAAAAAUCAAAACCGAAACACGAAUCGAAUCAGACCGCACCGAACAGUUUGGUUUUGUGAUUUUGAAACGGUUACGGUUUCAAAACCAAACCGCAGCAAAGAAAACGAUUUGGUUUCGGUUUUGGGGUUUCAAAACCGCACCGAAACCAAAACCGAAAUCGAAACCGCACCAUAUAUUGAAUAUUGAAUGUUAUGUUUUAAUCUAUUGUUUUGUGCAGCUCCAAUCUGAGUUUUUCAUGGCAGUAGGGCUCCCAGGCUCACAUUGCUCUCAUAAUCACUUUGCUUGUUAUGUGUAGCCCCAUUGCAGUAAAUUUUAAUACCGCGGGGCUCCUAUACAAUCUGUGAUACAAACCAACAUGAUAUUCUUAAAUUAGUAAUAAAAUUGACAACGAAUUUUUCUUACUUUGAUGAGAUAUGUAUGAAAUAUUCUGGGAAAAAAUGUACAUGCUAACUCUUGGAUAAUAACUACAAUGAGCGAUGGAAAAUACAUCCAUUUGUAUGCCAUUUAUUACCAAGGAAGUUGCAGAUAAUCGAGGCUAACAUUCUCAAGAGAAUGCUAAGUUGGUAACACAACAGGAAGUAGGUGGGAAAGAAAUACUUACCAGCUAGAGUAAGUCCCUAGGUGGACAAGGCAUAGAAUAAAUUGUACAUUUUUUUUCUCAAAAACCAAACCAAAACCGUUUGAAACCACACCGAACUGAACCAAACGGUUUGGUUUCAUUUUGGUUUUGGCUUCAAAACCGCACCGAACUGCACCGCAAAGAGUUUCGGUUUCGGUUGCGGUUUCACUUGAAACCGCACCGAACCGUACCGUGCCCACCCUUACAUCCGAGUGACCCAAGCAGCCCAGACCGUGAGGGUUGAUGGCCAACUCCCUAGGGUUUGGUCAAUUCCCACUUCGACCAAUCGUAUCCUUGAAAUAGGGGUUCAAGGCAAUGCGUCUUCAACAUCUUGGUGAUUGAUUCUGGGAUGUUUUCCUUGAAAAGUGGUCCCAGAGUUUGGUGGAAAACACUUGAAUCAUCCUCACACCGGAGGGAUUCGAUGGCAUUCUGGUUAAUAAAGUCUCAACAGUUGUCGCAUUCCUCGGCGAGCUUGGUGAUAUGUUAGAGGUUUAUUUUGCUUCUUCAAGGUUGACGCUCAGCUUAGAUUUGUAGGCCGAAUACCUUAGAAGCGAGGGGGCAAUGUUUGGGCCCAAAAUAUUAUUUUGGGCCGAGCUUAGGUCAUUCUCGGCCUAAUGGCAUUCAUUUAGAAUCUUGUUAUGGGCCAUCUAGUUAAGGUCAGCCGAAUCCUAUUACGAAAAGGUUUGGUUUGGAUAAGGGUGAGUUGGUUGAAUCCUAGUGCAACAAAGAUUCUUAAAGCUAAGGACACUGAGAAUUAGGGGGUGAAUCUGGUUUGUUAAGAAGCUUGGUUCAAAGCCUACAGGAAUUAAGAUUGGUUGAAACUUGAUCGGAUUGGGUUGAGGAGUUCUAAUCCUAGUCCAUUUCUAGUUUGGCCAUGAGAGGAUUCGCUAUUAUAAAUAGAGGAGAUAGUGCAUCAUUCAAAGCUCCUCCAAUUCAACACACAAAUUGCCUUGUGCAAAGCUUCUCAACAACCUUUGAGAUUUUAUCCCCUUCCCCUUUCUUUUACCAACACAUCUUCAGUUUGGAUAAACAGUACUGUGAAGGCAACCGAUGACAUCUUCAGUUUGGAUAGACAACACUGUAGCCGUAUAAUUAGCCGACCGAGGAGCACUUUCAGUUUGGAUAGACAACACUGCUUCGAAGCCGACUGGUAAUUUAUCCAAGUCUCGGCUGAUAAGGAUUUUCGAAACCUUGUUAGCAGAGGUCAUCUCAUUAGCCUUCUCGGCGAAGUAAGGUGUUACAUGUUUCUAGGCUUGGCACAUUGAACGUCGAGUUUUGUUUUAUGAUUGGAUACUCGUAAGUAAGUUUCAGAGUUCAGCAUUCCGAUAGCCGAACCACAUUUAAAAUCAAGACAUAUAUUUCUUUCGAGUGGGCAUGCCCCACGCAUAACUAAAGGACGUAGUUAGCUUAUUAGUUACUCGGCCUGCGCGCCACGUAAACUUGAUAGUUUUUAGGGUCAACAACUUUCAUUUUUUCAUUCCCAACCUACCCUGAAUUUAAAAAUGGAUAGAAACAUAAUUUUUAGGCCAACUUUUACUUAAUUUGUUGCUCUUUGCUUUGCCACUUUUAUGCCAAGUUCUUCUUCUUCUUUUUUGUCGAUAUGCUAAGUUCUUCUUCUUCAUCUUCGUCACUUUUUAUUCUUCCAUUUGUUCGUGUUAUACUUCUAUCUUAUAUGUUGGAAUAAAUUAUGUUGAAACUAAAUUCACGCAGUGCCAUAGAAGGUAAAGACACACAAAUUCGAGUAAUCUGUAAAAGAACAAACAACCAUGAGCUAACAAAAAACUAGGGGUGUGCCAGUCAAAGGCUCUCCGAUGGUCAAGUUAGUAAGCAAUAUAAAAUUAAAGAAGUAGACAAGAAAGUAAGUAUGCGAUAAUUGUGUUACCAGAGAAAAUCCUAGAAUGAUGUAUUUAUACUAGUUGAGGAUGGGAUGUUUUAGAAUAGUAGAAUUUGUAUUAAAUCGGGAGAAUCCUAGAGGAUAUCUAGAGAUAGAUAUUGCAUCCUCUUAGGAGUGUGAUUACUUACCGCACACGUCAAUCUUUUGAUUGUAAGGACUCCAAGAUUAAUUAUAAGAAACUUGCUGAUUUCUUGCUGGAUUUUGUUUCCAUAUCUUAUGGAAAAAGGUUAGUCUCAUCGAAAUCAUCAGACUUCACCCACUGAUUUCGGAACAGGAUGAUGGUGGCAUCGCUGCUUCGUAUGUUUAGCUCCGCAUCGGAAGCUGUAGAGUCCAUGACCAAAUAUUCGUAUUCCGAUCCACCUUACUCUGGCCCUGAAAAGUCAUAGUCCAACAAUUUAUAUUGAAAUUUGUCAUGGUGAUAACUUAACUACAUGUAAUACAUAUUCCUUUCGCUUGUACAUGUCUUAAAAUUUGCCAAAUGCUUAUAUGUCUUUGCCUUUCCUUUUGUAUAAUUGGUUGGGUAUUUUUAAUUGUAGGAAGAUAGUAAUAUUUUCAUACGUAUAAUUGUUUCAUAUCUCUUUUAUAGGUAAAUGAAGAUGUUAAUUAAUCAAAUAUUUUUCGUAUAUAUAGAAUUGUAUUAUAUAUUGUUUCUCCCCAAAAAAAAAGUGCUUUAGAUAUCAUUAUCAUAGGUAAGUAACCGUAUAUAAUUAGAAAUUUAAAUCUAUAUUUAUUAUCAAAGUCAAAAUAGUCAUACAACUAAAAAAUAAAUGCACAAAUUGGGUUAAAGUUGACCACACACACACAUACACACGCGCGCGCACACACACAUAUAUAAUAUGUUUGUGUGUUUGUUUGUUUUCUAUAUGUAGAGCUUAAUUAAUUAGGUUUGCAUGGUAUACAUAGUAUCCAAGCUAUGUAGCUAUCUUAUUUUUUUUUUUAUAAAAGUUAGCCUGCAUGAUUUCUAAUCCAUCAAUGUUUCUUUGUAGUUGGAGGUGUUCUAUUUCAUGCAUGCAAUAGUAGGAGCUGUCGCUUGGUAAAAUUAACAAGGGGUUUUUGAACUUUAAUUCUUGAAGAAGAUUAAAAUUUAAUAAAAAUUUAGUGUUAUAUUGAAUAUUGAUUUUAGUCUAUUAAUAUGUAUUUAAUUCAAAUUCAUAUUAUAUUUUUGUUUUUAUAUUUAACAGAUAACUUAUUUAAUGUUAUUACAUUAAAUUUUAUUUAACUUUCUCUAAUUAGUGUACCUAAACGUCUGUAUCAUAAUAUACUUUACUAAAUUAAUGUACCAAAAUGCCCGUACCAAAAUAUAUUGUAGUGAAUUAGUGACACAUAAGAAAAUAUGUAAAAACAUAAGUGUACAGAAAAUUCCGUACCUAACUAUAUGAUACUAAACUAGUGUACCAAAAUGUCGGUACCUAAAUAUAUUAUACUAAACUAGUGUACCGAAAUGUUCGCACCUAAAUAUAUUGUAAUGAAUUAGUGGCAGAUAAGAAAAUAUGCAAAACAUAAGUGUAAUGAAAAAUCUCUAUGAAAAAUAUUUUCUUAUAUAAGAUGCUUACCAUUAGAUGAUUCCACUAAAUGAUGCCUAUAUAUCCUCGAAUCUUACUUUUCCACUCCACUACAAACUUUCAUUGUCAAAACAAAAAAAAAAAACUCCCAACUUUUUAUACGCACUUAUUUCAAAAUUUUGCCUCUCUUUUGAAUCUUUUAUCAUGGCUUUUUCAAGCAAGAAGUCUAAACCAAUUAAGCUUUCCCCCUAUAAUCUUCCUUUGACAAGAGUUCGUAAUCGAGAAGAAGGUGAGUCUUUCAUUAAAGAGCACCAUGACAUUUUGGACGACUGUAACGUCUGGUGGGAACCUGGUCAUGAUAUCUAUGCUAAUCUGCACCGUUGUUUAGUCCUUGCUGUCUUUGUACUAGAAUCUACCCUUGGUUCUUGGACUUUGGUCUUCGUUUCCCUCUUUCUGCUUUUAUGAAAGCCAUUUUGUUAUGCUAUGAUAUAGCCAUCUGAAACCUCUCUUUUACCGCCUUCAAGCUUUUCACUUGCUUCGAGUUGUUGAAUUAGUGGUUCGGGGCUAAGUUGGAUAUCCCAGAGUUUAAAUGUUGCAUAGCUUCAAACCGAGUUUGGAUGACCAUUAUUAUUUUGCUGCUAUAACUAGUUUGGAUUAGGAGACAUACAUCAAGACACCCCUAAUCACCACAAGGAUUGGUUCAAAGACAUACUAAUUGUUAACGGAGCUUAGGAGGGAGAUAUUAGCGGACUCCAGAUCCGGAUUGAUCCUCCGACCGUUUAUCGCAAUUGGAAAUGGUUGUUCUCUACUGAGCACUUGAACAACCGUAAGAAGAUAUAGACGCAUUUCAUUGUUCAGGAUUCCCUAUAAAGAAGCUAGAGUAGGUUGAUGCUCGUAAUGAUCAUAGAAAAACUCGUUCCUUUAAAACAGCAUAGACUUUGUCACCUGUCCUAAAGAAGCGGAAACAUCCUAACAAUUCUUCUUCUUACUCAUUGGUUGUGACUCCUCAGCCACAACUGCUGAUUAAGGACAUCCAUUAUAAACCCCUCUUCGAAUAAGCACGUUGCUGUUCUGGCGCCACCAACUUUUAUUGUAUUUGCCUCUAUAUCCAUAGCAAAUAAGCCGCUUACUUCACCUCUUAUCCAUUUACCUGCGGUGUUGCCCCAAUUGUCGAAGUCAGAACCUAUUGUCCUCAUUUGGUUCUUCCACCAAGUUUUAUGUUCGUGCCAUACGAAAUUGAUGUGCCUUCCAUUUCCUCAACGUCCACUUUCGUCCAUCCGCUGCAAGUGCCUAUAUAUGAACCUUCCUGCCAUAAUGGUCCUCCAUUGAUUUCCCCAUCGAGGUCCAAGGGAACAUCUCGUCCUCCCUUUAUGAUCAAACCUUUGGCUGAUCGAGUUGCUUUUGCUUCUGAUGUCAGUGGUCUUCAAAACACAUAUGAUGCUCGGGUGCUGCAUGGGGCUACGAUUGCCACUACCGAUUUCAAGGGAGCCUACACUUCUCUUAAAUGUGACAUAAUGCAGUACUAUAGGAGUCAUUAUGAGAUACCCGAAUUUCUCUCCUCCAUUUCUUUUUGUUGAUAUGUUUCCCUCGUAUUAGGUUAAUGUGUGGACGAAUCUAGGAACUUAAACGGAUUACAGAUAUAGGCAAAACGAUGAUUGCUAUCCCAAUCAUAAGAACUUAAGAACUCGUAUACCAUGUAGCAAGCCUCGAAUACCACUCAUGAUGUAGAGAUAAUUCGGGAGAUUGAUCUAGCUACUGUUAUAGAGGUAAAGGCCAAAGAUUACAAGGAAAGUUUUGAGAAGGUUAGAGACGAGCUGAGGUUAGAGAAGCAAGCCAAGACGAAGGUGGACUAGGCUCUUGUUGUCUUAAAAGGAGAGUCGGAGCGUGUGUUAGCUUUAAAACAAAAUGUUUGGGCUAAAGAGCAGGAAGCUCUUCAAAAAAAGAGGUCGAGCAUCUAUGCUAAGAGGUCGAUCACAACGAUAACAAGCCCAUCGCGUACCUUUAGCAGCUUACUAACAGGUAUUCCUCUUAGACGUAUGUAUUCCAGGAAGAUCAUAAGAGGUUACUUGAAGAGGAGUUUGACGUCAGAUUCCUUACCGAUUACGCCCAACAAGAUCACCCUAAAGGUUGGAGCGUCUUCAGAAUUUAUGAGUAGAUCAAACACAUGGACUUUCCUCCUCCGCAUCAUUUGUUAGAUGAGAUGUCAGAUUUAGAGGCGGAGCAAAAUGAAUGUGAUCUUAAAGGUAAUCCGACACCUGAUGCCCUUGGUGAAUCUUCUACUCCAUUCAAGGGAAACGAUGUCCUGAAAAAGGAUUAAUUUGCACUUGCUCCUGGGUAGGAAAGGAGACUGUCCCUUUUGCAAACUUUUUGUCGUAAUACAAAGCUUUUUCUUUCAUUUCUUUCUCUACUCGGGGAAGAAAUCUUAAUCCUAUAAAUUUCUCUAAAGUAAACGAACUUUAUUUGAGAAAUAAGUGGCGGAGCGGGUACGAGUAAGUUUGUAGGUUCGGGACAAAGCUCAUCAACUCCCCUUGGAAACAUUGAUUCAGGGGAAUGUUGCCUCCUAAGAUUUGUAUUCAUAAAGUAUUCUCAUCAUGAUAUCUAGAAUACCACCUUAUUAUGGUAUUAGGAAUUAGACAUUAAACCCAUGAGAAAACUCUUGCUCUUACACUUAUUAAAAUACAUUCAUCAGGUAUAAGAGGUCCAAAUCAUGCCUGAUAACAUCUUAGAAGUAGAGGUCGAUUACCUCAAAACUUGCAAUGUGGUGCCAGAAUGAGUUUUCCCUGGUCCGAAUUGCGUGUUCAUUUCUAGUGAAUCUUACGCAAAAGUUCUUUGGAUACAUGGUCAUCAACAUGUGAGUCAAAAAUGCUUUUAGAAUCCUUUUGUUAGACCCUAUGUGUCGGACUUGAGCGUUUAUAAUCGGACUACUUUGGUUGGCUUGACCAAAGCAUUUUCGCUUACUGAAGCUCCAUUGGAAUAAAAUUCCUCUUUGGGAUUGCCUAGUUUGAAUGCCCUCUUCGAACCUGCUAACACUUGGUGUUGUAGAGCUUACUUGACUUAGUAAAUUAGUCUGGGAUAGAAGUAGUCGUACUCGGGGUCAGAUUUUAGAGCCACCCUCAGAUAAGUUCCAGAUCGCCCUUUUGACUAUUCCCUCGAAUGUGUAGAGCCCAGGUUUGGAAUGUUAUAACCCACAACCUUGCUGGUUACAUAAACUUUCUAGAGACUGGAUGGUGCAUUGGACUUCCAGGUCAAGGCGCAAUGUUCCUGUACCCAUAGCCCACCAGUCGUUACAACACUUAUUACUGUUCGAGUCUAACAAGCUGCUAGCCGUUCCAGACGGAUAAGGCUAAAGAAGGCUCUUAUGAUAGUGUAAUUUUGAAUGUUUUUAGACUUGUAUUCGUGUAAAGUUUUCAAAGUUUGGGGCCUAUUUUUUAACGAGUGGGGUACUCCCUACAUCAUCGAAAAAAUAAAGAAAAGAAUACGUAUUUAAGACAAACAGAUGCUCGUUAUUCAUGAUCGAAGUAAAAUUGAUUGACAAGAGGGUGUGAUUGAAUCUGAGAAGGAUUGCCUACAUAUUUAUGAGAUGGAGAAUCAAAUUACUGAUAUAGUUCUAAAGAAAAUAUGAUAUAUGUAAAAAUUUACAUGAAAGAUCACUUUUGACGAUAAGCCUAUAGGGAGGCGUUGGGGGAUGAUUUCUCAAUGGACUUAUCUUCACACAGAUGGGGGCGUUACCGAACUGCCUACAUAUCUCAGGAAGGGAAUCAAACCGUGUGUAUUUCAUGUGAGAUUUACUUUGUUUUAGGUCACUUGGAGAGGCUUGCAAGGGUUUUAAUUUUCUUUCUUCAACAAGGAUUUCAUCCAUCGGCACAAGUCCUCUGGUUUCUAUGUCAUUGAACCUUUUGCUGCUUGGCAUCAAUUCGGAGUAGUGAGGUGGGAUUCUAUCUUUAAAGGGGACUUUUGCCAUGGCGUAUAACCAUUCUCGGCCAAAGAAAGCGUUGUAUAGAGACAAAUUAUCCAUCACUUGGAAAGUCAUCAGAUGUUCAGAUGGUUUUGCUUGAACCAUGAAAUGUAUUGUCCCUAUGGUGUUAAGCGGGGUUCCAUUAAGGGUUUGGACAUUGGAUCUUCAUGAGUUGACUUCAUCUAGGAUGUUAAUUGAUAGGGAUUUUUACCAUCUACAAAAGUAGAGAUAAAAACACUUAAAAAUACUUGCAAGAGUACAAGGUUGUCGUAGUAUAGUGGUUUAGGCAAGGUCGUUUUCCACCGAGAUUGAAUGAAUAAUUUGUGUUUAAAACCAACACUUAAUUAAUUAUUUAAAACAAAGUUUGGAAAAUGUUGAUUUUAGAAUUUAAUAUAAUAAAAACGAAUUUUAAAAUAAAACAAUUAAAGAAAUUAACUAGAGAACAAUUUAAAGAAAAACAAUUUGUAAAAGCCUAGGGUUCCGCCGUCCCCUUAACAAUCCUACGCAAUUUUACUAAUUACUUAUGAAUUUCCACAUAUAUACUUUGAAGGUUAGGUUUUCCUAAUGCAUAUUUUCCUUGUGUGUUUAAGCGAAAACGUAUAUCUAACAUGCAACCCGUCUGUGAUGUUCAGAUCAAAUAUAAACAUGCAAGACUCAUUAAGCUUUAUGAAAACCCUUUGAAAAACCAUGCAACCCUUAAGAGCGUGAUAUUCACCUUAAGUGAACUUACAAUUACUAAUCACAAGAAGCCCUCCUCAAUUUCAGGGUGAUGUUCCAACAGAAAUUGCAUCAAAUUACUUGUCUAAAAACCCUAAUGGUUGCGAAUCACUAAGACAAUUAGAUAGUUUGAUCGCAGUGAUUAAUAAUUCAAAGUAAGCAUGCAUCCAUUCAUAAGCAAAUUAAUAAAAUCACAUAUUCAUGCUAAGGCUUGUGGCAUCGCCCUAGCAAAAGAACUUAGUUACGAACAAUCAUGAAACAAAAUAUUAUUGAGAAUAAGGAUAGAAAACGCCUAGAAAAUAAACUUGAAAAACUCUCUAAAGUGUGCGUGCGUUCUCUCCUCUCCUUCCCUUCUAACCCUAAUGGCUAAAAGGUCUUAUUUAUACUACUACAAAAUAAAACCUAAAAAGUCUUAGAAUAAAACUAGGAAACAUAAUAAAAUAAUAAAACAUAAAAUAAAAGGUUUCCUAUUUGAACUAAAAUUCGGAUUUCUUAGAAAAUCAGACUUUUGACCGACCAAAUUAACUCUGAUUUGUCCCAAAAAGUCUCUUUUGAAAGAUGGAGACGUCCCCUACAAAUCCUCAGAAGAAAUCUUCCUCAAAAUAUUCCAUCUUGACCUUCAAAAUGCCCAAAACGUCCAGAAAGGUCAGUCUGGAAAAGCUGCGCGCUGGGCCUUUAUUUCAUAACCACGGUCAAACGGCUUAGUAGAAAAAUAUAGAAUUUUGACACAAUCAUCUUGAAAGACUCACGAACAUCCUCCAAUUAGAAUUACUCUAAAAUUAAUCUGUUUGAUCACUUUUUUGCUCCAGAGGAAAUUGAAUGUCCAACUUUAGAAAUAUAGUUCAAAGUAUCAAAAUUCUACCAAAAUAACUAGGGUAAAUUACAUAGUAGCCCCUCAGGUUUGAGGUCUAUUACAACCCCAUACAACAACUUUAAAACAUUUCACUUUCAUACAUCCAUUGCCAUUUUAUUUCAAAAUAACACCUCUGUUAGAUUUUCCAUCUAUUAGUCUGUUAAAUGCUGACGUGGCUACCACAUUUAUGCUGAUGUGGCUGCCACGUGGAAAAAAUAUUUUUUAUACAUUAAAAAUAUUAUAAUAUUAACCCAAUUAAAAUAUUAAAAAAAACAUAAAAACCCUAACCUAGAUCCCCUUUCUCCCCCCUCUCUUUUAUGCAAUCCCUUCCCACUAUCCCUCACCCACCCCCCAGCGACCUCUCCCCAAGCGACCCACAUCCCUAUCCCUAACCUAGAACCCAAAAACCUGCAACAAGAAGAAGAAAAAGAAGAAGAUGAGGGAGGAAAAAAAAAACCCCCAGUUUGUCCCCUCUUCAAAACCUGCAAGAAGAAGAAGACGAAGAAGAGGGAGAAAAAAAAGAGAAAAAAAAGAAAAAAAAAAGCCCAGUUCGCGGGAAGGUCGCCGAAAGGUCGCGCGAGGGGGGGGGAAGGGAAGUCGGUCGCGGGUCGCGGCAGAGCGGGGGGAAGGGAGAUGGGUCGUGGGUCAUGGCAGGGCCGGGGGGGUUUUCUUUUUUUUUUCUUCUUCCUCCCUCUUCUUCUUCUUCUUUUUGUUGUUGCAGGUAUGUGGGUCGCUUAAAGGGGGUGAAGUCUUUGGGGGUGGGGUUCGGGGUGGGUAAGGGAUAGUGGGAAGGGAUUGCAGAGAGGAGAGGGGGAAGAAAGGGGAUCUGGGUUCAGAGGGUGUGUAGAGAAGGAAAGAAGGUGGGUGCGGAGGAAGAGAGGGUUGCGGGUUAGGGGGGUGCACAGGGAGGGUCGACGUUUGGGGGGGGGGGCGGGGGUGUUCUGGGUUUCUGGUUUUGGGGUGGGGGGUUAUCAUUUUUGGGUUUUAGGGAACAAGAUGAAGAUGGGGGAUAUAGGUUUGGGGGUUGCUGGGAGAAGAGAGGAUUUUGGGAGUUGCAAAAGGGUGGGGGUGGGGGAGGGGGGAAGGAAGGGAUAUGGAAUUCGGGAUUUUCUAGUUUUUUUUGUUUUUUUAAUUGGGUUAAUAUUAUAAUAUUUUUAAUGUAUAAAAAAUAUUUUUUUCUACGUGGCAGCCACAUCAGCACAAAUGUGGUAGCCACGUCAACAUUUAACAGACUAAUGGAUGAAAAAUCUAACGGAGGUGUUAUUUUGAAAUAAAAUGGCACUGGAUGUAUGAAAGUGAAAUGUUUUAAAGUUGUUCUAUGGGGUUGUAAUUUACCCUCAAAUCUGAGGGGUUACUAUGUAAUUUACCCAAAUAACUAAUAUAUUAAUACUAAGAUAAGGGUAAAAUAUAUGGUAAUAUGGACUUAUCACUAAUCCUUAUAGCUACCUCCUGAAGAGGAUAUUGACUUCCGAUCCGUUAUCGAUUAGGACUCUGCCGACCAUAGUGUCUUUGAUUUACAACUUGACUGCAAGAGUGCCAUUGGAUGGUGGGUAAACAAUUUAUGGCCUGGUUAAGGGAUCUUUCAUCCAAGGUUUUCCUUGGGUCAUUUUCCUUCCCUUCUGCGCUUUCUUGAAAUACUAUUGUCUUCUCCUUAUGUGAUUGAUGCCUGGAUGGACUUCAUGCCUAGGUGUUAGGGAGGCAGUGGUUAGGGAAUUUCCCGCAGUCUUGUAAAUUACACUACUAGGAGGGCUUCCUAGAUCAACUAUUGUGAAUUUGUCGUUCCUGGGGGAGCUCGAAUAGUAGAAUUUUCAAAUCGGGUGAAGGUACCUUCUACAGUUUUCAUUCUUUCAUUCAGCCUAGCGAGCUUCACCCUUUCUCCUACUUGUAGGUUCUUCUUGAGCACUUUUAUUGACAUGUGUACCUUCAGGACGUUAUCCCAGACCUGGUCGAUGAAAGAGGCUUCUUCUCUAUUCGGGUAUACGGUUUGACCAAACAGCAAUUUUCUGGACGUGGUAUCCGUGGAGCAAAGUGGUCUGGUCGAGAGGAAUAUGGGUUUUCUUUUAAUGAAAGCACCAAUUGUUGAAACCAAAUCUACGCACCUCCGUGAGCGGCGGUUGGGCACAAAUCCGAGUAAACCUGAACAACCUACAAAAGGCUCUUCGAUAGUCAAGCAGUAGGCAAGAGAAUUCAAAUGUAUAGGUUACGUUACUGUAGAUGAACCCUAAACGGGUGUAUUUAUACUAUGAGAGAGAGACAUUUUUAGGAUAGAUCCUCAUUUUAAGCCGGGAGAAUCAUAGAGGAUAUUAGUGAGUAGAUAUUGCAUCUUCUUAGGAGUUGUGAUCACUUGCGGAGCAUGCCUAUCCCUAAAUUGUAGGGACUCCAAGACUUAUAGGAUCUGAUUGUGUCCAUAUCCAGAUCACAUCACAUGUCUUGCAAAACAAGUAUGGUCAUAUGGUGGAGUCACUAGGACUCUGCCUAGGGCCCCAUAGUAGAGUGAUGGUGGCACCCUUCUCCAUUUGAUACAGCUUCACCCGGAGUUGGUAGUGAGUCCAUGAUUGAACUCUUGAGAUAACGGUAUUCGGUUUAGCCUUACUCCGAUCCUGAAAAAUCAUGGUCCCACAUGAGCAGACAAACAUAUUUAGGUGAUUCUGUAAAUGAAUAAUUCCAUCGUGUAUUACGGUGCUCCUACAGAAAAUGGUCCCAAAUUUCUAUCACUUCCAUUCAUUUAUCAGCAAUAGCCCAAACGCCAAACCUCAUUUUUUAAAAGUCACCUGGUAUUAAGCUAAAUAAGUCAAUUAAUUAAGUAUGUAAUUGAGUAAUUAACUAAUGGUGGUGAGAUGAUGAGAAAUGGAAAGUACAAGAGUAUCCUGCACAGAACCACCGUAAACAAGGACAAGACAAGAAUGUCAUGACUAGUGUUAUUGGAGCCGCCAGCAGGUCCUCAUUUACAGCUUGUGAACGCCGACAAUCCACCAGAGUAUAAGACCAAGAAGUAUGGCUACCAUGUUUACUGUAAGAUCAACAAGCAUCCCCAGUAAAUAAAAGAAAAACUAACGAAAAGUUAAAAAAAGACUUUAGUUUUAAUGAAAAAUGACAAAUAAAGGUGUAAUGAAUAGUAUCAGGGAAAAGUAAAAAUGUGAUUUUUCGUUAAAAGUGAACAAUACCAGGAGUAUUUGUUAAAACUCCCCAUAAAUAAAUACUAUGAAGUGGGUGGUUUUUGUUUUUUUUAUUUUUAUUUCCUUAUUUUGUGUUGGUGAAAUUGUGGGUGGUGAGUACCAUAUUUGUAUGAAAUAAUAAUUUGAAGUCAAGGUGAUGAGCAAAAUCUUACUCGAUUGUAUAUUAUUAUGGAAGUUGAGAUUUGUUGUCGGAUUCGACAUUCUUCUUAUCCCUCUAACUCACAACAAGUCUGAUCAAAUUCUCAUUUGGUGUCCAAGAUAAAUUUGAAUGAAUAGCCCACAAUAUUUAUUGUAUGUUGAACAAACAAAUGAAAAUUUUGUAUCCAAUUUAAAGUAAAAGAUGAAUUACUCAUACAGAAAACUUGUACAUUCAAAUUUCCUCCAAAAUGACAAGAUUCUUUGGGACACUUUGGAUGCGAUCCCUAGCUAUCAAUAUUCUUUGAUUGAAACCUUGUUAGUUUUUAGUUUUUGAUUGAGGUCCCUGAUAUUAAUGUAAUAAUGUAAGUUACUAUAUUUUUUUAAUUAAAAAUUAAAAAUUGAAAUUUGUAAUUGUUUAUAUUAAUGAGAUUUUAAAUAAAACCCAUAAUUUAUGGGAUUAAAAAUAAUAAAAUAUAAAUUAUUCUCUCUAUUAUAUUGUGUGUGUGUGUGUGUGUAUAUACAUAUAUGUAUGGGUACAUUAACCAAAAUUAACAAAAAAAGUUAUUGUACCAAAACAUGGAUACAUUCUCAAAUCAACGAAAAAGAAUGUACCCAUAUAAGUUUAAACAUGGAUUAAAAAAUUUGAAUGGAUUUUAUAUUAAAAAAGGGUACAUUUUACAUAUAACAAAUUGAUAUAUUUGAGAAUGGGUACAUUUAAGAUUAAAAAAAUUGAAAAAUUAUAUGAAUGGGUACAUUUAAGAUUAAAAAAUUGAGAAUCUUUUUAUAUAUAAAAAAAACUAAUAGGUACAAACUUAAUUUAAUUUAAUUUUUUAUUAUUUUGGAAAUGUUUGAAUUGAAAAUUAAUUAGAAGUUUAAUAGAGGUGUGAGUAUUAAACCCUAAAUUAAUUACUAAUUUUUAUAUUAAAAAAAUUAUAUAAUAAACAUGUAAAUUCAUUAUCACAUUAAUGCUAGGGACUUGAAUCAAAAUUAAGAACUAAUAAGGUGUUAGUCAAUGAACAGUAAAAACUAGGGACUGGAUACUAAUUUUUCCUUAAAAAUAUAACUUUCAUUCAUAUCUACUCAAAAUGAAGAAAACCAUUUACCUCUACAUUCAUCUUUAUGUACUUGGAAUUUUACGAGUUAUCUAUUACAAUCCUAGAAAUCAAAUGACCUUAAGAAACAAAGAAUCAGAAUAUUUAAACUUAGGACAUUGGAUACAAAAGUGUAUAUUCUUAAUCACUACAGUUCAUUUCUUAAACUUUUAUAGUUUAGAAUGCAUAAUCUAUAAAAGCUUUAUUUACAGAAGAAAAGAAAGAAAAUGAGGAGACACGAUUGAUUUGUACAAAAAUAAUAUUGUACAGGCAAAGUCACAUCCCAGAACCAAUUUUGGGAGAGGUUUUGUUUGUUUGCAAGUAAAACAAGUAGAUGUUUUUAACCUUUUACCCUCCAAAACAAGUUCAAGAACGUUCUACUAGUUAGAACAAUAAUAGUAGGGUGGAAUGCUGAUUUAAUCUCUGAAUUAUUACCUCAGUGAAAAUUAGGUCCCUGAAUUAUUUUUCGGUAAAAUAAGUCCCUAAAUUCAUUAAAAAUUGCUAAUUUCAUCCAUACUACUAUAUUAAAAGCUAGUUUAUCACUUUUUUGUCAACUUAAGUCACUUGACACAUUUUAAAGUAAAAUACCAACAUUUUCUCACGUAUAAGCCAUUAACAUUUCAUACAGGUUACCAAUCUAAGGUCUAAUUUUUACCCUCCAAAGUUAACUUCAUAUACUAUUUCUUUAUGUAAAAUUACUAAUCUACUCUCUAAUGUGUAUCAUAUGCAAGUACCUUGACUUAAGUUGACGGAAAAUUGAAUAUAAUAGCUUUGAAUAUAAUAUUAAGGAUGUAAUUGGCAGAUUUUUAAAAUUCAAUGAUUGAUUUUCCUCAAAAAAAUAAAAAUAUUAAAGACCUAACUUUUACUCAGGUGAUAAAUUAUUCAGGAACUAAAUUGGCAGUUCACUCAUAGUAAUAAUGACAGACCCCGACCUAAAUCAGGGCGUGCUAAUCGUCACGUGAGGGUGACGUAGCCAUGUGCACAGUGUGGAAGCAAUAGAGAUAAAAGGAAAUGUGAAUGAAUAAAAACCAUACUACUAAAAGUCCUAGCUAAAAUAAAGUGCUAGUGUGAGAUUAAGUGUGAAAUACACCAUCAAAGCAUAAAUAGUCUAAGUGCAGUUCAACUGGAUAAGUACUAAUUAUAUAACACCCGAAGGUGAUCCUACAUUUAAUAUUCUGUAAGAACCACCGACGAAAUCCCCAUGAGCCACCAAAGCACUUCUACUUAAAAUCUGGAGGGGCGCAAAACAGAAAGUGUGAGUGGGCAAAAACAAAGCUUUUCAAAAUCAGUUCAUUUAUCAAAAAACGCUAACCCCUUGUCGUAAAACCUGUAUAAUUUCCUAAAAAAUAAUAUAUGUUAUAUCAGAAAUCAUGCUCAGGAUGAAAAUCCAUAGAAAUAUAUCAUGCCAAAGUAUCUCAAAGAAAUGCUAUAAAUUAUUCAGUUAAAAUAUAUCAAUACCAGAUAUCAUAUCAGCCGGAUCCACCUAACAUGACCUGCCCAGUUGAGUUUAUAACUCAUAACCAAUCUUAAUCAUAUCAAAUCAUGCACACGAGUCGGAAACACCUAACGUGGUCUGUACGACAAGACUAGGUGUAAAAUAAAUAUGCUCUAGUGCUAUGAUCACGUGAAGACUAUGCAUAUGAUCACGGUUCACCUACGAGUCAGAACCACCUAUAGUGGUCUGUAGGACAAGCCUGUGCACCUAACUUGGAUCCAAGGUAAGCAUAUGGUGCAGGAGGUGAACAUCACAUGAAGGACUGUGCCUUAACUCUGGGCAGGAGCACUAACACCAGGGUGCAGGUUUAUGAGCUCUCAUUGCAUCACAUCAUAUCUCGCAUAACUAAAUCAAUCUCAUAUAUUUAAUUUAUGAACUUACCUGGCACUUACCUGUGCGUCCGCAGCACCAAUCAUAAAUAUAUGCUACUAUUAAUGCAUAAAUAAAAUAGGCAGAUACUUUGUAUGGCAUUUCAAAACGUAUAAUCAUUCAAAUUCAUUUUCUGGGAAAAAUCUCAAGUAUAUAGGUAUAUACGGAAAACCAAAAGCCCACUCACCGGUAUGUCGAAAGGUUGUAGCCCCCGAGCCUCGAAUGAUGGCGCUCGUCCUCUAGAUAGGUCUCACCUAUAUGCGAAAUAACUAAAUAAAUGUUAAUUAAAGCACACAACCACAAUUAGCUAAUAACUUCUUAUACAAUGCUCAAAUGAGGUGUUUGAAUAUACCAACGUGAUCUACUCAACACCACGAACAUCCCCAUAUUUUUAGAAAAAAAUUUCGAGCAUCCAAACACCCUCACGCGCUGGCCAAGGCACGGCUAGACAAGCGGCCCACUUGCAGGCACGUGCCUGGCACACCAAACGGAUUCCCUAACGGCGUUAAGGAAUAUUCCGUUAAAAACCAACAUAUACCGUUAAAAUUACCUGACAGCAUUAGCAUAUUCCGUCAACUUUGACGUAAUAUUCUCCUUCUUCCUCCUUGGUUCGCCGGAGUCUAGCGCCAAUGCCGUUGCUAUCAUCGGAAACUGGAAAAAUCCUAAAAACUUCAUAUCUUUUUCGAUUCUCAACCAAAAUUCAUGAAAUUUGUCUCAAAAUGAAGCUUAGAGUGAGUAGAACACAUUCUUACCACUUUCAAGCCUUGAAAUCCAUGGAAACUCGCCAAAGAAACCUCGAUAAUCCUGCCAAAAUUUGAAACUCGUCAAACUAAGCUUCCCGACGUCCAAAACAGUCCAACUUUCUUCCCCGAGCUUCGUGAAGACGUCCUAAAACUCCCUGGAACCUUAAAAGUCAAAGAAAAGUCCACAAUCAUAACUGCAUGAACAGUGCUCAAAAUCGGGAUUCUUGGGUUCUUGAGUUUUUGAAGGAUUCACGUUCUAAAAAUGGUAUAGAUGUGUUCCUGAGCUCACAAGGAACAUGAAGAUGGCUUCCAAAACCUCGAUUUGCGAUUAAUGAGCUAGGUUCGAGUUUGUCCGUACGGUUGUACGAAAAUGGAAAAAAAUCUGAUAGGGAGGAGAGAGAGAGUAAACGGGAUUGGUUGGUGUGUGUGUAUGGUCUAGCUUUGGGCUACUAACAACAACAAACCAUUAACUUUAAGUUCCGAAAACUUAGGAACUUAACAUAUUGGUCCACCUCUAAAAGUACGUCACACACAACACAUCUCAACGUUUAAGGGUAAAAUAGACAUUUCACACUAUCGAUAAAAAUAAUUUGGGACUGGCUGUGACAACCUACCUUCCUUAAGAAAAUUUUAUCCUCGAAAUUCACACAACAAAUACAAUCCACUAAUAAUCAUAAAACAACCUUGCAUACAUAUCCCUCAUCCUGUCCUCUGUCUCCCAAGCAGCUUCUUCCAUUGAGUGAUUUCUCCAUAAAACUUUCACUAAGCGCACGGUCUUGUUCUUCAGCACCUUAUCUUUCCAAUCCAAUAUCGUCACUGGCUCCUCAUCAUAAGUCAAAUCUGGAUUAAUUUCCAAAGGUUGAGGAGGUAUCACAUGUGACGGAUCUGAAAAAUAAUGACGAAGCAUGGAAACAUGGAAAAUGUCGUGCACUUUAGAUAACUCUGGAGGCAACUCAAGCCUGUAAGCAACUUCACCGACUCUCUCGGUGAUCACAUAUGGUCCGAUAUACCUAGGACUUAACUUACAUUUCUUCCCAAACCGAACCACACCUCUCCAUGGUGAAAGCUUAAAAAAUAUCCAAUCACCCACUUUAUACACCCUGCCAAUGGC